UCUAAGGGACUCAGGAGUGAGAAUUGUCAGUGACAAAAACUGCAGUGGCUGCCAACCAGUAAUUUGCACUUCAGGCCACCUUUAUUUCUUGUCCAAAGGGAGAAAAAAGGCCUUGAAGAACCAGGGGAGGAGGGAGAAGAAAGGAAGAGCUAGUGGGAGCCGAAACCAGGUCUAACACAGAACAAAUGGCCAUGCUAAAUCAUACUAAAUAAUUCAGUGCAGCACUUCCAGACGUCU
rnacentral:lncRNA from 1 species